AACGCCUACAAUCAGUCGGAGCUCCCUUGAGGAGUGACGGCGUACCUUUUGUAUAAUGGGUCAGCGACUUACAUUCAGUGGCGAGGUUAACCGAAUAGGGAAGCCGUAGAGAAAUCGAGUCCGAAUAGGGCGAAUAGUCGCUGGGUGUAGACCCGAAACCAAGUGAUCUAUCCAUGGCCAGGAUGAAGGUACCGUAACAGGUGCUGGAGGUCCGAACCGACUAGUGUUGCAAAACUAGCGGAUGAGCUGUGGAUAGGGGUGAAAGGCUAAACAAACUUGGAAAUAGCUGGUUCUCUCCGAAAACUAUUUAGGUAGUGCCUCAAGUAUUACCUGCGGGGGUAGAGCACUGUUUAGGCUAGGGGGUCAUGGCGACUUACCAAACCUUAGCAAACUCCGAAUACCGCAGAGUACAGCUUGGGAGACAGAGCACCGGGUGCUAACGUCCGGACUCAAGAGGGAAACAACCCAGACCGCCAGCUAAGGUCCCUAAAAUUGGCUAAGUGGGAAACGAAGUGGGAAGGCUAAAACAGUCAGGAUGUUGGCUUAGAAGCAGCCAUCAUUUAAAGAAAGCGUAAUAGCUCACUGAUCGAGUCGUCCUGCGCGGAAGAUGUAACGGGGCUAAGCCAGUUACCGAAGCUGCGGAUGCAUCGCAAGAUGCGUGGUAGGAGAGCGUUCUGUAAGCCUGUGAAGGUGGGUUGUGAAGCCUGCUGGAGGUAUCAGAAGUGCGAAUGCUGACAUGAGUAGCGUUAAAGGGGGUGAAAAGCCCCCUCGCCGAAAGCGCAAGGUUUCCUACGCAACGUUCAUCGGCGUAGGGUGAGUCGGCCCCUAAGGCGAGGCAGAGAUGCGUAGCUGAUGGGAAACAGGUCAAUAUUCCUGUACCGAUCAAUAGUGCGAUGUGGGGACGGAGAAGGUUAGCUCAGCCGGGUGUUGGAUGUCCCGGUUCAAGCCUGUAGUCGUGCCUGGUAGGCAAAUCCGCCGGGCUUAGAUGAGGGGUGAUAACGAGGAGGCUUGCCUCCGAAGUGAGUGAUACCCUGCUUCCAGGAAAAGCCACUAAGCUUCAGCUAUUGACGACCGUACCGCAAACCGACACUGGUGCGCGAGAUGAGUAUUCUAAGGCGCUUGAGAGAACUCUGGAGAAGGAACUCGGCAAAUUGACACCGUAACUUCGGAAGAAGGUGUGCCUUUAGUAGGUGUAGUUGUACAAACGAAGCCCAAUGAGGCCGCAGAGAAUCGGUGGCUGCAACUGUUUAUUAAAAACACAGCACUCUGCAAAGACGAAAGUCGACGUAUAGGGUGUGACUCCUGCCCGGUGCUGGAAGAUUAAAUGAUGGGGUGCAAGCUCUUGACUGAAGUCCCAGUAAACGGCGGCCGUAACUAUAACGGUCCUAAGGUAGCGAAAUUCCUUGUCGGGUAAGUUCCGACCU
rnacentral:rRNA from 1 species